rnacentral:lncRNA from 1 species
GGGGAACAGAUGGAGGAGGUGAGGGCAGGGAGGUGCUGGGGCAGACAGUGCUGGCCUUGCAUGCUUGGGGACGACUUUGGGUCUUGCUCUGAGCGAGCUGGGAGCCACAGAGGGUUCUGAGCAGAAGAGGGCCAUGCUCUGACUCAGGUGCUCCCAGGCGCCCUCUGGCCACUGUGGGGGUCAGUGUGGGGCUCAAGAACAGAAGCUGGGAGGCCAGGGAGGAGGCGACCACACUGGUCCAGGUGAUCGAUGCUGGGAGUGGGAGCAGGAAGGCUACAGUGGAGGUGAGCAGCGGGCAGGUCUGGGUGUACCUGAGGGUGAGCAGAUGGACUGGAAGUGGGAUGCGGCGGAAAUAGGCAGGUUGUGGCCCGAGCGCCUGGAGGAUGGGGACCACGGAGGGAGGGCAGUUUGCAGGGUCCGUGUAGGCGUCACAUUUGGUUUAAUGGAUCUGCAAGUGGAGGUGUCGUGUUGGGGCCUGAGUUGACAUCAAUAGUCUCAUUUACUCUUUUUGAAUACCUGGGGAGGUAGGUAAUUUCUCCCCAUGUUACAGAAUGGGAAACUGACGCUGCAUAACUCGCCCAAGUAGUUAAAAAAUGGAAUCAGUUCUGAAUCAGGCCUGUGUGAUGCAAGGACCUAGCCUGGAGCCACCGCCCUGGAGCCACCGCCUGCCUGUGCAGGGGACAAGGGGAGGGGCUACAAGGCCCCAGCUUCCCUCUGGCCCAGUGAGCCCCGGCCCCAGGGCAGGACGCAAAAAAUGGAGUAAUCAAGAGAAGCCCUGUUCUGGAAGCUGCGGUGUGACGGUGACUGAGAGACACAAAGGCACCGGCCUCCUGGAGCUGCGACUUCGUCAGGGAGGCUGAAAAUUCACCAGGAACAGGAAGAAAAUUUCAGAGCGCCGACGAACUUAGGAAGGCUAAAACAAUGAUGAGUCAUGACAAGCAGCAUUAUUCACAAAAGCUGGAAAACAGAAACAACCCAAAUGUCCAUCAGUGGAUGAACAGAUAAACGGUGCCAAACACAUUCACGCAACGGAACAUUACUGAGCCGUCAAAAGGAAGCGCUGAUACACACGGCAUGGAUGAACCUUGAAAAACUAUGCUGCUUGAAAGUCAGACAUAAAAGGCCACGUGCCUGUGAUCCCAUUGACAUGAAAUGUCCACAACAGUUGCCCCUCAGUGGGAACAGGCACCAGGUCCACAAAAAACACCUGCACGACAUUCGUAGCAGCUUCCUCGUCACUGCCAGACGCGGGACAGCAGCAGCGUAGCUGGCCCGGCAAACGGAAGACAGGCUGGGGCAUCUUCUCGCCGUGGAGGAUGACGCCACGUGAGAAAGAGCCAGCACCGUGCGCGGAGAAUUAACCCUGUGACAUGAUGAACCCCCAAAACAUCACGCUGAGUGAAAGGGCCAGACACAGAAGGCCGCGGAGUGAGUGACUCAGUUGACGUGCAAGUCCAGGACAGGAACGUCCACAGAGACACCUGCAGUGGGUCCAAUGGUGGCCCCCCAGAAAGAUAUGUCCACACCCGAGCCACCAGAACCUGUGACUGUGACCUUAUUUGGAGAAACGGUGAUUGGAAAUGUCAUUAAAUUAAGAAUCUCGACAUGAGAUCAUCCUGGAUUAGGAUGAGCUCUGAAUCCAUUGACAAACGUCCUUGGAGAGAAGAGAAAGGGAGACAGACACACAGACAGAAGGAAGAAGGCCACAAGGAGACCGAGGCAGAGAGGGCAGGGACACAGCCACAAGCCAAGGGACGCUGCGGCCUCCAGAAGCCUGGGACAUUCUCCCGAGUCUGCAGUGGGCUGCCCUGCUGUCGGCCCUGUGAUGCUGAUUUGGACGUCUGGCCUCCAGAGCUGUGAGACAGUAAAUGUCUAUGGGUUUGUUUUGUUUUCUGUUGUUUUUGAGCCACCCGGUUUGGGGCUGUUUGUUACAGAAGCCACAGGAACCGGUGCUAACUCUCUCAGCGAAUCACCUGAGACUGCCUGGGUAUGUCCUCUGUCUCUCUGCAUCCCUCUUCCCACCCCUCUCCCGCAUCCCUCUUCCCUCCCUCUCCCGCAUCCCUCUUCC